rnacentral:rRNA from 1 species
UCUUAGAGAGGCAUCAGUGCUGUAGGGAAGCCGGAGAGUGUGCUACCUGGGAAGUAUAGACGCAAGUCCGAAACUUAAAGGAAUAGGCGGGGGGGUACUACAACGAGUGACGCGUGCGGUUCAAUCAGAUUCUACACCGUGAACCUCACCAGGACCGACAGCAGAAUGAAGGUCAGUCUAAAGGGCUUACCUGACACGCUGAGAGGAGAUGCAGGGUCGACGUCAGCCUGUGUCGUGAGAUGACCUGUUAAAUCAGGUAACAGGCGAGACCCGUAUGUACAUUUGCUUUUGCUCAAUGUACAGACUGCCGUGGUAACACGGAGGAAGGUGCGGGCUACGUUAGGUGGUCCGUCCCAAAUGCCCUGGGCUACACGCGCGCGGCAAUGCUGCAUUCAAAGGGCUGCGACACCGAAAGGUGAAGCUAAUCUCAUAAACUGCAGCUUAGUUCAGAUUGAGGGUUGCAACUCACCCUCAUGACGCUGGAAUUCGUAGUAAUCGGAUUUUAUCAGAGUCCGGUGAAUAAGUCAAUGCCCCUUGCACUCACCGCCCGUCAAACCAACCGAGUUUUGCAUUGGUGAGACUCGUCAGAGACAAACCUUUGUAAGACAGGGUAGGU